UACGUAGGGGGCGAGCGUUGUCCGAAUUUACUGGGCGUAAAGCGCGCGUAGGCGGUUUCUUAAGUCUGGGGUGAAAGGUUCAACGCUCAACGUGAACAGUGCCUUGGAUACUGGGAGACUUGAGUCUGGGAGGGGGCAGUGGAAUUCCUGGUGUAGCGGUGAAAUGCGUAGAUAUCAGGAGGAACACCGGUGGCGAAGGCGGCUGCCUGGCCUAAGACUGACGCUGAGGUGCGAAAGCGUGGGUAGCGAACGGG
rnacentral:rRNA from 1 species